rnacentral:rRNA from 1 species
UACGUAGGAGACGAGCGUUGUCCGGAAUUACUGGGCGUAAAGCGCGUGUAGGCGGAUGAGCAAGUCUGCUGUGAAAGCUCCUGGCUUAACCGGGAGUGGUCGGUGGAAACUGCUCGUCUGGAGGACGGUAGAGGUAGGUAGAAUUCCCGGUGUAGUGGUGAAAUGCGUAGAGAUCAGGAGGAACACCGGUGGCGAAGGCGGGUCUCUGGGCCGAUAUUGACGCUGAGGAGCGAAAGCGUGGGGAGCGAACAGG